rnacentral:rRNA from 1 species
GACGAACGCUGGCGGCGUGCCUAAUACAUGCAAGUUGAGCGCUGAAGGUUGGUACUUGUACCAACUGGAUGAGCAGCGAACGGGUGAGUAACGCGUGGGGAAUCUGCCUUUGAGCGGGGGACAACAUUUGGAAACGAAUGCUAAUACCGCAUAAAAACUUUAAACACAAGUUUUAAGUUUGAAAGAUGCAAUUGCAUCACUCAAAGAUGAUCCCGCGUUGUAUUAGCUAGUUGGUGAGGUGAAGGCUCACCAAGGCGAUGAUACAUAGCCGACCUGAGAGGGUGGUCGGCUAACUUGGGACUGGGACACGGCCCAAACUCCUACGGGAGGCAGCAGUAGGGAAUCUUCGGCAAUGGACGGAAGUCUUACCGAGCAACGCCGCGUGAGUGGAGAAGGUUUUCGGAUCGUAAAACUCUGUUGGUAGAGAAGAACGUUGGUGAGGGUGGAAAGCUCAUCAAGUGACGGUAACUACACAGAAAGGGACGGCUAACUACGUG